UCGUCAAGAUUCCCUUUCGUUUUUCUUUUUUUAAGCAGACUGUACUACCCUGAUCCCCAUCCAGUCCAUGGGAUCCAGCUGAUGAGAGUUGGAAAGUUGCAGCAUUAUCUGGACCGCAUCAAGGAUGCUUUAGAAACCUUCAAAAAGGCCUAUCGAAUCAUAACCCUCUCCCAUGGUGAUGAUCACCCCCUGACCUCUGACCUGCUGAGGAGGAUGAAAGAAUGCCAAAUUGAAAUGGAUCAUCAAACAAUGAGAAAUGACUAACCUACAGCAACAACAAUUCUGCUACAGGAAACUUAGAUGUGAUGCAGAGGUGGAUUUUAUAAAUGCUGACUUCUAAAACAUGAACAGCAUGCCCCCUCCAUUUAA